ACCCAGACCGCCAGCUAAGGUCCCAAAGUCAUGGUUAAGUGGGAAACGAUGUGGGAAGGCCCAGACAGCCAGGAUGUUGGCUUAGAAGCAGCCAUCAUUUAAAGAAAGCGUAAUAGCUCACUGGUCGGCGCAUCGUUGAUGUCCGCCGCCAGUUCGCCAAACGACGAGAACGAUCGCACCGGUGCGAUUAAUCGCA
rnacentral:rRNA from 1 species